ACGCUCGACACCUACGGGGGCAGCAGUGGGGAAUAUUGCACAAUGGGGGAAACCCUGAUGCAGCGACGCCGCGUGGAGGAAGAAGGUCUUCGGAUUGUAAACUCCUGUUGUUGGGGAAAAAGNGGAUGGUACCCAACAAGGAAGUGACGGCUAACUACGUGUCCAGCAGCCGGCGGUAAUCUGAGGCGGGCUGGCAAGGC
rnacentral:rRNA from 1 species